CUGACAGGCUAUUUUUUGCCCUGGUUGACUAAAUAUGGUCAGGGAGGGAAUGGCAAGGGAAGGGGGCUCCGGGCCUCGAGCGCGUGUUUCGGAUGCUUAGCUGGGUAUAUAAGCACUGGAAAGGUGGAUGCGUUUCCUGACCAGCUUGCUUCGCCCUGCACCUCUGGAGUCUGUGCAGACCCCCUCCCCAAAAUCCCCCCUUUCUUUUUUUUGUUCCAUCCUGGCCUCCACCUCAGGCUGACCUUUUGGGGAAGGGCAAGUGGGGUGGGUCGGAGGAUAAAGCAAGGCAUGGGGCAGGAGAGAGAGGGCAGGGAAGACUUCUGCAAACAGAACGGCUUCGCUGCUGGAAGGUGGGCGGCGGGCAGGAGCCCUGCCCCUGGAAGGGGACUUCUUCUUCUUCUGAAGUCCCGCACCUCUCGCCCGUCUCCUGCUACACUCGUGCUCUCCUUUGCUGGCCUCAGCUGUAAGCUUGCAAGCGUCCCCCUCCCUCGCUACCUUAGCCAGAGAUGCUGCAGGAGCCUUAGAGAUGAACUAGCGCCUGUUGGGGUGUGCGUGUGUGAGGUGGUGUGUGUGCGUGUGGAGAGAGGGUGGAAGAUGGCUGGGGGUGGGGUGGGGUUGCCUCAAUUCUCUCUCUCGGUCUCCAAGUGAGGUCUAAUACCAUUACUGGGCCGCACUUUCCCGCUUUCCCUUCCUGCAUUAGAGAUUAGCUUUAAGGAAAAGGCUGGCGGCGGCGGCGGCAGCUGCAUGCAACGCAUUAUUACCUUGUGAUUCCAUGACCCUCCUCUAUGCAUCCCUAACUCUCGAAAGCUGAUUCAGCUUUUAGCUAGUGCUCUGGUGACUUCCACUGCUGCAACAGAAAAUCUUCUAACUGGUAUGUCUUUUUUUUUUUUAAAUCCACCUCCCCUCCUCUUUUUACUGUCUGCCUUCUCCCCAUCUCUCUUCCCCCCCCAUCCUCAACUGCACCAAGCUUAGCUUUGUUUUAAAGAGACCUGCAGCAGGAGUCUUCUUGUGCAUGCAUCCAACUUGUGUGUGGACUUAAAAUGCAUGCUUUUCGCAGAAGGGGCAUAAUCGGUGCAUGCAUGCUUUCAUACGGGGGUGGGUUAGGGUUAGGGCAUUUUUGAGCUUUUUUCCCUCUUAUCCUUCUCUCCCCCCUUUCCUCUUGUUGUUGUUGUUCUAUUGCUGUAGCACACACUCCGCAUUUUUUUUUAAAAAAGGACAAAAAAAUCUGCAGAGCAAGCAGCGGACUAGAGUAUUCGGAACUGAAACGCUAGAACUUUGACAUGCAGGCAUUUUGCAAGGUUAAACCAACCUUUUAAAUGCCUCAUUCAGAUAUGAGCUGGCUAAUGACAGCUGGGGAAGGUGGGGGGGAAAGAGAGAAGAGAAAUCUUUUGAUAUUAAUAACUAGUGGCUGUAAGCUGGAAUGAUACUAAGCCAGGGAGGGGAAAAGGGGGGGGCAGAGGGAGAGAGGAUACAAGGUGGUUAAACUUAGUCUAACUUGCCCUGAUCUCGGUGCUGUGGUGAUUAACCAUUGACAUGCCAAGGUUGUGAGCAUUAAUUACCUGUGCAUGAUUUAUGGGUAAUCAAGAUGGGAGGCUGGAGUGAGGGAAGAAACGCCCAUAGCCAGAAAAGGUACAUUGGCGAGGCAAAGAUACUGAAAUGCAAGUUACAGUUUAAGAGCUCCUCUUGGGCAGUUUUGCUUUUUCUUGGCCUUGAAGAUGAUCUUUUAUUUGAGAGGGAAGUGGCUCCGCAGGCAUACUUUGAAAGUCAUGUCAUAAACCAGAAUGCAGUGUCGAUUUGAUGUCAAGGAUGUAAGUGAGCAUCUGUGUUAAUAUCUAAAAGCAUGGGUGGUGUUUAAUGCUGUAACACCACAGACUUACUCAAUUACUUUGCAAGGAGGUGAGCGUAGGAUCUCCAUCUCCACAGAGUGUGAUUUUCUGCAUAUGUAUUUGUAUAUAUUCUUAGAUACGUGUCUGUAUCUCAGUACUCCUAUAUGCAUGUCUUUCGUGUAUAUAACAUGAAUACUUGUUCCAUAUGUUAAGGCUGCGAUCCUUGAAUCACAUACUGUGGAGUAGCCCCUUUCACUCCGGUGGGACUGUCCAGAGUUAAUGUAUGAGGGAUUGCAGCCUCUGUCACUUGGGACUCCUUCCUGCCCCCUUCUUCGUCUUUUUCUUUAGCUUCUUCUGUGCAUGUGUGUUCUGUGCAUGUGUGCAUAAGGAAGGAUGAAUUCCUUUCACUCAGCAAUAACGUGCAAUUGUGUAAUCGGAGAAGCUGUCACUGUAAUCGCUGUGUUUCUCCAGAACUGUCUCUAUCAUGCCUUUUGCUCAGAAUACUAUUGUUAACACUGAAAACUGAGUUCAGUCACAUAAGGAACAACCACCCAAUUGCAGGCAGGUAUAACAAUCCUUCAUUCCACUUCAACUUUCCCACUGGUGACUUCCUCUAGAAUGUGGUCUUUGAUGCACCCUUUGACACAGAUGGCCAUUUUGCAAAUAUCUGAGAUUGGCAGUCAUGCGAGGAGGUUGAGGAGGGAAGCUCUGUAUGGAAGGUGUGUGUGUGGUACAUUUGUACCACCACACCCACAAGGAGUCAAACUCCCUUCAAUGUCCUCUGCAGCCUUUUCCCAUCUCUUGUUAUCUAGAGAGAGAGAGAAUGAAUCUUCCUUCCACAGAUAUUCUCCCCUUCUUCACCUUCUUAUUAUGCAGGAUUUUCCCACUAUGAAUGAACCAACCACUCUGGAUGAACACGAGGAACUUCAGUUGCCCUCUGUUAUCCUUGAGGGUGUGAAAAUGAUAAAUAACCCUGACUAAAUGUAAAAGCAGCAGCUGAGCUGUAAUAUAAUUCUGCUGUGCUAAAAGAAAAAAAAAGAGGGGGGGGAAGAGAGACAAGCACUUUUGGCAAUAAUAAACCCUGUGUAAAGAGUGAAUGUAACACAAAUUACCUAUUGUUCUUUCCCAAAGCACCUCUCUGGCAGCAGCAAAUGGCCACUGAAUUAAUCUUAAGUCAGACUUGGAAACUUUGAGGUGACUUUUCUAUAAAGCCUCUAUGGGGCUUCAUAAAGAGGCAGUCUUGUCCCCUAACCUUUUUGUAUUUAUAGGGUUCUGCUCUUCCCUUUUGCACUUUCGCAAAGGGAAUUCCCCUGGUUGCCAAUUAGCAAAUGUUCCAUUUGUGCAGGGAAAAGUCUAUAGGCAUGUAGGGUGAGCUGAUGGCAGUCAAGUGUCCUUUGCAGUAAUUUCAAAGGGGGAGGGGGGAAUAAAUAGAUAAUUAAACAGAGCAGAUUGUCUCCAUCCACUUGUAGCUAUUUUUACAUGCCUUUUUUAUUGGAACAAGGAGAAACCUACACGAAAGGCCUGUGGGUCUUGAUAAGAUUGGUUCUUUUUUCUAGGUAGCUGCUGCUGCUGUCUGAGCAAGGGCACUUUUUUGCCAUCUCCAGCUCACUCAGCUUAAUUCCACUGCCUUGCUGCAUUCCGAGGAGGAGGAGGUAGUUCCUUUAUAUUGAAUCCAAAUCAUAGGAAAUUGGCUGCAGCUGAAAUGAAUUCCUUUUUGGGGAGGGGGAGGGAAGGUGCAGAAAGAAAGAUAUCAAAAAUACAGGGAUUAUCAAAUUGCCAUAUUGUUAUUGUUUCUUUAAAAAAAGAAGAUAUUUAACGGAAAUGAUGUAAUGUAUCUGAGGGAGAUAAAAACGCUGUCCAGCAUUAACUGCUAUGUGGAAGUAGUGGAAUGCGAGGCCUGCUUUUUUAAAAAAAAGUAUAAUUAUAGUGUCUUUAUAACAGUGAUUUAAAGUUUGUGGAGAAAAUAAGGGAAUGUUUACUUCACAGUUGUAUUUUUAAAAUGCAGCAUGGUGGGUGUGAGGGUGGGGUUGCAAGACCCAUCAAUACAAUUAAGUAUUCCAAAGUGCUUAGUUUGCCAGUUGCUAAGUUUACUUAAACCCUCUUUAAAGGGUUCAUUAGAAGACUGUGAGAAAUGGUAAAAUUCAUUAACAUUAAGGCAGCCGUUCUGCAUUUGCCUGUAAAUUGGUAUUGAUCUGCAUGGCUCAGGCUGGUGGCAGGGAGGGAGAGAGAGAGAGGGAGAGAGAGAGAGAGAGAGAGAGAGAGAGAGGAGGUAGCCAUCAGAUGGAGCAGGUGAGUGGACAAGCUAAGCACACCAUUACAGCAAUGCUGAAUGAGCAUUAUGCACCCAGUGUGACCUCCUGGUUUGCUGGAUGUCUAAAUCCUGCUCAUAAUAGUCUCCUGUUCAGUACACUCAUCAUUCUCAGUGGUGCUUCUUGGACCCCAUUGUUAGGGGAGCUUUAAAGCUCAGAGUGGCUGAGAAGAGAAAAAGAGAGAGGAGGAGAGAGAGACUGCCUGAUGCAAACAGAAGUGAGAGGCAAGAUUUCACACAUAUGGACACACACACACACACACCCUCAUGCACCCCCCCUCACAAACACACCCUCUGAGGAGUAACUCUUGACUUCCACUCCGGCCUACACUCAACAUUAUCCAUCUGUCCAUCCGUCCGUCCACUUUGGGGUUCCUUGUGUUCUUUUUGCCUGUUCUCAGGUCAGUUUCGGGCAUCUUCUAAUGUUGCAAAGUUCAACUGAAAGAUACUGUAGAAAAUCCCACUUCUUUCCAAGGGAAAAAAGUCAAGCCCUUUCCUUUUGGGGGUUUCUUAUCCUUCAGGCUGUGCCUCACUUACAGUGACCUACAAAAAAGGGGAAAAUUAUAUCAGUGGACACCUGAGCAGGUGGAUGCACUCAUCAGGACAUUAAAUAUUCAAUAUGCUGACUGCGGUAUGGGCUUUGAAAGGCAUCGGCAGAGGAAACCUUACUGUCCACUUCUGUGGUUCUUUAUCUUUCUAUGGAAUGCCUGCAGGUCUGACGUCGUCCUUAGUUUGCCAAGAUGCUGCAGGCCACACAGACCUCUGACAAGCCAUGAGAGUCCUGAACGUCUUCAUUCCUCCCCCAUUGCUGAUCAAGCAACAGACAGAUGCUGUCUUUGGAAACCUUAGCUCAACAGUGUUGCUUGGGGCUUCUAAAAGAGAAAAGAGGAAUUUUGAAGGGCAUCCGACCGCACCCUCCCCCAAAUCCUUAUCUGGAUCUACUCAAUAGAAGUCUCAUUGUUACUUGUUACAUGUUACAAGCAGAAACUCAAUAUUUAGCAGGAUGGUGGUGGAAUUGGAUGCAUCUCCCCCCACCACACCAGAGCACAGUUUAUAUUGUAAACUAUUCAAUAUAUAUUACAAAGGGGUUUCUUUUAUUUUUUCAAUCUUUCUCUUGCAAAUUCUAUAUUGCUGAUGCAACUGCAGAAAUAGCAUAGUGGGUAUGUCUAAUUGUGGACAGUCAGAUUUUGUUUAAUGCACUGACUUGGACGAGAACAUGAAUUUGGGCCACAGCUAAAUUUCAAGCCACUGCAGAGAUCUAGAAAAUACAUUCCUCCCCUUUUUUAAAAAAGAAAAUGUUUCAAUGAGCUGGCAAUGAACCAUGAAAGGCGCAUGGCCUUGCUGAUCCUCGCAUUAUGUUCCCUUUGCUCUUUAGGAGAAUCUCACUUAUGCCAGCCUCUUUGGAGCCUACAACAGGUGCAAGUGGGAGCAGUAAUCUGGGUUAAAGUUAGGCUGCCAAAAGGGAUGACCUUUGGCUUGAAUAGCAGGUUCCCACUCUAAGUUUAGGGAGCUAAGUUGGCAAAUAUUUGUGGAAGCUGCAGGAGGGGGGCAGAGAUGGAAGAGCUGACUCAUAGUCUUCAACCUACUACUCUUCAAUCACUUUUCUAGAGGCUUUGGAAAUGGCUAAGGUGAAUUGCAUGCAUUCAAGCGGCCAUUUAUACCUCUCUGUUUUGGAGAGGCAUGGGUCUUUCACCAGAAAGUGGGAGCUUAUAUGCCCUUUUCUUUUGAAAUCGUAGGGACUAGGGCCACCAUGGAUUUUAGAAGACAAAAAUGCCCCUCUUUUUUAAUCAGUUAAUCAAGGGUGCAUCUUAACAGAACGUGGCACGUAGUUCCUUGUAAUUGGCCCUCUCUAGAGAAAAGUAAGCAUGCCUAAUUAAUAGGGUUUACACUCUGAGCUCUUAACAUGGAAAUAUGAUGCACUGAUUUUAAAGCAGGUCUAUAUAAUUUGUAAUCUACCAUCUUGAAUGCAAGACACCAGCUUGGGAGUGGCCUGCUCCCCCUCCUCUCUCUCACACACACUCUUUUAAGAAGACACUUUCAAGUACAGAAAUAAUAGGCUUGUAAGCCUUAAGCAUUUAUCUGUGUUCUUAAGAUCUCCUGAAGGUUCCGCAGGGGUUCGGUUCUGUCUCCCAUGCUUUUUAACAUCUACAUGAAGCCGUUGGGUGCGGUCAUCAGGAGUUUUGGAGUGCGUUGUCAUCAGUAUGCUGAUGACACACAGCUCUACUUCUCCUUUUCAUCA